rnacentral:rRNA from 1 species
UGAGGAAUAUUGCGCAAUGGGGGAAACCCUGACGCAGCAACGCCGCGUGAGUGAGGAAGGUUUUCGGAUUGUAAAGCUCUGUCGAGCGGAAAGAAGUGCAUUAUGGCUAAUAUCCAUGAUGCUUGACGGUACCGCUAGAGGAAGCACCGGCUAACUCCGUGCCAGCAGCCGCGGUAAUACGGGGGGUGCAAGCGUUGUCCGGAAUCAUUGGGCGUAAAGCGCGUGUAGGCGGCUUGACAAGUCAGAUGUGAAAUCCCUGGGCUUAACCCAGGAAGUGCAUUUGAAACUGUCUGGCUGGAGUAAGGGAGAGGAAAGUGGAAUUCCUGGUGUAGAGGUGAAAUUCGUAGAUAUCAGGAGGAACACCGGUGGCGAAGGCGACUUUCUGGCCCUAUACUGACGCUGAGACGCGAAAGCGUGGGUAGCAAACA